AUUGAACGCUGGCGGCAUGCCUAACACAUGCAAGUCGAACGAGUGGCGGACGGGUGAGUAAUGUCUGGGAAACUGCCCGAUGGAGGGGGAUAACUACUGGAAACGGUAGCUAAUACCGCAUACCAUCGGAUUUGCCCAGAUGGGAUUAGCUAGUAGGUGGGGUAACGGCUCACCUAGGCGACGUUGCCUAGCUGGUCUGAGAGGAUGACCAGCAACACUGGAACGGAGACACGGUCCAGACUCCUGCGGGAGGCAGCAGUAGGGAAUAUUGCACAAUGGGCGCAAUCCUGAUGCAGCCAUGCAGCGUGUAUGAAGAAGGCCUUCGGUUUGUAAAGUACUUUCAGAGAGGAGGCGUUACUCGCAGAAGAAGCACCGGCUAACUCCGUGCCAGCGGCCGCGGUAAUAC
rnacentral:rRNA from 1 species